rnacentral:rRNA from 1 species
UACGUAGGGACCGAGCGUUGUCCGGAUUCAUUGGGCGUAAAGAGCUCGUAGGCGGCCACUCAAGUCGAAUGUGAAACCUCGAGGCUUAACCUCGAGCCUGCAUUCGAUACUGGGCGGCUAGAGUCUGGUAGGGGGAUCUGGAAUUCCUGGUGUAGCGGUGGAAUGCGCAGAUAUCAGGAGGAACACCGGUGGCGAAGGCGGGAUCCUGGGCCAGUACUGACGCUGAGGAGCGAAAGCGUGGGGAGCAAGCAGG